rnacentral:tRNA from 1 species
AUUAAAGUGGCAGAAAGUUAAAUGCAAGGAAUUUAAGCUUCCUUUAUGAUUAAGUUCCUUUAAUA